AACGAACGCUGGCGGCAGGCCUAACACAUGCAAGUCGAACGCUGUAGCAAUACAGAGUGGCAGACGGGUGAGUAACGCGUGGGAACCUUCCCAGUGGUGCGGAAUAGCUCAGGGAAACUUGAGGUAAUACCGCAUAAGCCCCUAGGGGGAAAGAUUUAUCGCCAUUGGAUGGGCCCGCGUCGGAUUAGCUAGUUGGUGAGGUAAUGGCUCACCAAGGCAACGAUCCGUAGCGGUUUGAGAGAAUGACCAGCCACACUGGGACUGAGACACGGCCCAGACUCCUACGGGAGGCAGCAGUGGGGAAUCUUGGACAAUGGGCGCAAGCCUGAUCCAGCCAUGCCGCGUGAGUGACGAAGGCCUUAGGGUUGUAAAGCUCUUUUGCCGGGGACGAUAAUGACGGUACCCGGAGAAUAAGUCCCGGCUAACUUCGUGCCAGCAGCCGCCGUAAG
rnacentral:rRNA from 1 species